AAGGAAAUCAACGAAGACGAGGAGAC
rnacentral:sRNA from 1 species